GUGCGGAACACGUGUGCAACUGCUUUAUCUGGGGGAUAGCCUUUCGAAAGGAAGAUUAAUACCCCAUAAUAUGUUGAAUGGCAUCAUUCGACAUGAAAACUCCGGUGGAUAGAGAUGGGCACGCGCAAGAUUAGAUAGUUGGUGAGGUAACGGCUCACCAAGUCUACGAUCUUUAGGGGGCCUGAGAGGGUGAUCCCCCACACUGGUACUGAGACACGGACCAGACUCCUACGGGAGGCAGCAGUGAGGAAUAUUGGACAAUGGGUGAGAGCCUGGUCCAGCCAUCCCGCGUGAAGGACGACUGCCCUAUGGGUUGUAAACUUCUUUUGUAUAGGGAUAAACCUACCCUCGUGAGGGUAGCUGAAGGUACUNAUACGAAUAAGCACCGGGUUAAACUCCGUGCCAGCAGCCGCGGGUAAAUUAACGGGAGGGGUUGGCCAAAGCGGUUUUAUUCCCGGGGAAUUUUAAUUUGGGGGGUUUUAAAAAGGGGGUCCCCGGUAAGGGCGGGAUUCCUGGUAAAGUCCAGGUGGGUGGAAAAUUCUUCAACAAGUUUUAAAUUGGUUGAAAAACUUUGGGCCAUUUGGAAUGGCUUGGAGGGUU
rnacentral:rRNA from 1 species